CAGCCCGCCGGGCUCCUAGCCCUAGGGCGAGCUAACCCAAAAGGGGCGUCCCCGCCGCCCCGCAGCCAGCAGGUUCUGGCAAGGGCCAUUCUGGGCCCCAUCUGCCGGCAUCACUCCCCGCUUCGGCUCUGCCGCCAAAGGGGUGUCCCUCGUCCCUCCAAUGUCACCUUUAGCGCGCCCCUGCCGAGCCCAAGAACACUCCAGCCUUAAACCUGGCACUUCAAUUCGGACCAAGUUAUUGGAUAAACUCCAGAUCUGAAUGGUGUUGACUGAGGAGAAGGGAACUGACGGCGGGGGCAGCGGGGGAGAUGCUGGCAGCAGCGCCCCCAGACCCAAAACCUGGGCUCCUUCACCGCUGGGCACAUCCAAGGAAACCUGAGCUCCUCGGGGCCAAAUGAAAAGGGUUCUAAAACUGUUAAAGGAGCUGCCCCACAAUGCUGACCCCUCCUGGUCCUACACUGCAAGACUGUCCUCUGAGGAACAAACAGCAGAAAGAACCAAGAAUGCUUGACCUAGGGAUGGUUUCCAAGCAAUAUGAUGAACAUCAGGUAUCUAAAGGGCUGGGAAGUGGGAGGAAGGAAGCUUGUUCUGGAUGUCUACUUAAGCUGGCACACUAUGAUCCAAGGGCAGAUUUCAAACCAACAAAGCUUUCUCACAGCUAUUCGGAGAAUAGGGCGUCCCCUGAAGGGAUGACUUUCCUGACCCCAGAGGUGUCUGAGCAGAAACUCAAGCAAUCACUUGGCAGAGAUUUGGGGAAAGAGAUUUACAAUUCCUCUUUCAAUUUGUUCAAGAUGAAUUUUAAGGUCCCUUCUAACUCUAAUUCAAUGUGAUUGGAGGGCUUGAUUAGCUUAUGUAUCUGAUACUUAACGUUUCAGGGAAUCUGGGUUUUAAUUUUCCUUUAAUUAUUAAGUACAACUGGAAAAACCCAGGGAAGGCAAGAUCAAUUUCACUAGCAAAUCUCCCUGGCCAAAUACACUCACUUACGUGUUCAGAUAUCACAACAGACUAUUUAGUGUGCCAGGGGCCCUCUGGCUGGAAGAAUCUGAGGAAUUCUGGCUCUGGACUAAGGGUGGGUGGUUAUUCUAUUAUAAAGAAUGAUCUUGAUGUGGAAUCACAAACUUCAUAGCCAGAAAUUCCUUUCCUGUUUGCUCACUAAAUCAGGUGCCAAUGAAUUCAGUCUUUUCUUAAUCCUUCCCCACACCUAUCUACCUUAGUCUCACCAAUCUCGCCAGUGCUCCACAUUACAAGUCCACCCAGUAAGGGGAGCAUUUUAGCAACUAUGAAGUUCAGAUUGAAAUUACUUAUCAGCUUAAGUCACAUUCUCUCUGAUGAGUGUAUUAGGAGGCUAUAUUAAGACACUAUUACAAAGAAAUCUCUCCAAAAUUCAAACAUGGCCUUAUAGAAAGGAUUACAUAAAGUUGACCAAUUACUCCCCUCCCCUGCAAAAAGUGCUUUGCUCCUUUCUUUAAAUCAUCAGUUUGUCUUGAGAGAGAAAAAAGGCACAAAGUCUCUUCCCUCCAUGUCUUUCUUUUUUUUAAUCUGUUCAUGAGUUUCUCCUUAGUUUUGGUAUGUGGAACUCUGCCAAUAGCCAUCUCAGUGACUGAAAUAAAUACCUGAUACAGCUUUCAACCUCUUGUUACCCUGAUAGCUCCAACAAAAAAAGCAUCUGUUCAUUUCACAUGCUGUGUGUAAACUUUUAAAAAGAGAAGUAUAGGGAGCACCUCUUUGAUGCUUCCCUCAUUCCUAUAACACAAAUAUAUGUGCUGAUGCCAAAUUUUAAAUUAGUUUCCAGUUCGUUGAUUACAGAGUUCAAAGAAUUCUCUAUUUAUUUUGAAAUUCCUAAGAACAGAAUUGGUGUCAGACUUUCCUUUGGUGAACUUGGAAGAAAGAACAAUCUUGGCCCUUCCUGCUUUCUAAUUAAAACAGAAAGGUGGAGUCGCCUCACACCCUAACACAGCUCCCUUUCCAAGUUUUGGAAUUGGCACUUUGCCUUUGUCUGCUCCAGAUUUAAACCACCAGCCUCCAAGGAAAAUCUGGAGACCCUAGAUGCAUACUUCCUCAGAUUCUAUAAUGCCUUUUCAUCCACCUCUCUCUUGGAGGAUUAGUGCUGACUAGAGGAGGAGACAGAAGACUGGUUGGAUCUUGCACAUUUAAAACCUACAAAAUGCCUUUCAUCUUGGGAUCUCUAGACUUUACAAGCAUUUAUUUGGUAGCAAGUGGAAACUCCACAGUAUUAGUCUGAACCUGUUAGGCAUCAGUCACUACCAUCUUUUUAUUACAUAAAGAUGGCUACAGAGUGGCUUGUUAAGCAAUGCAGCAUGAUGUGAAGCUUGCUUUAAAUCUAAGGAUUUUGGUGCUAUCUGAGCUCCUGUGUAUUUCUAAACCCAUGAGAAAGCUUUCCACACACUCUUCAGGAACUCUCAUGACCCCUGGAGCCCUUUUCUGCCUGUAGACUUUCCAUAUUAAUCCCUCUUUAGCCACUCCCCACGACAGUGGUGAUGGCAAAAGCAUAGGGCUUUGUAAGUGAGAAAAGACCUAACAGGACAGUGGGAGGCAGGAAAGCAGGAGAUUCCAGGAAGCCUUUAUGGAGGGAAGCACAUUUACACAUCAGGAGCCAGAGACAGACGGUAGAGACAAGGGUUUCUAAGUGAAGGACUGGAGGCUGGAAACCUAAAGAAGCUAAUUCACAGUUAUCAUGGUUUAAGUUACAGGACAGAUGCAAGGGAAAAAUGAAAGGCCAGAAUGGUAAGUAGCUCAAGGUCAGUUCACCAAAGCCCCUGAAUCCAAACAUGAAUUUAUGCUUUAUUUGUGCAUGCUAAGUCACUUCAGUUGUGUCCGACUCUUUGCAGCCCCAUGGACUGUGGCCCUCCAGGCUCCUCUGUCCAUGGGAUUCUCCAGGCAAGAAUACUGGAGUGGGUUGCCAUUUCCUCCUCCAGGGGAUCUUCCCAACCCAGGGAUUGAACCUGCAAUUCUUACUUCUCCUUUGUUGGCAAGUGGGUUCUUUACCACUAGUACCACCUGGAAAUCUCAAGACUUCCUUAUUUAACUUGCCAGGGCAUCGUACAAGUGACUGAGUCAUUUGUGGAAAAUUUCUAAGAAUCUGAGCCUGGCUGCUCACUCAACUGCCAUUUGAUAUAAAUUAUUGCAUUACAAAAAAUCCAAAUCUUAAUUACAGAGGCAGACUAUUUGAACUUCACAACUGAUCAGAUAGAGGGUAGGGGUUAGGGGCAAAAAUAAAUGUAAAAAAUGCUGUCGGGACCUCCCUGGUGGUCCAGUGGCUAAGGUGCCAUGUUUCCAAUGCAGGGGGCCUGGGUUCAAUCCCUGGUCAGGGAACAAGAUCCUGCAUGUCGCAACUAAGAGUUCAAAUGCUACAACUAAAGAAUCUCACAUGCCGCAACUUAGACUUGGCACAAAUAAAUAAAAAAUAAAUAUUUAUUUAUUAAAUAAUAAAUAAUAAAACUUUUUAUUUGGUUAUAAUAAUAACCAAACAAAUAAAUAUUAAAAAACAAUAAACCUCUUUGGAUGACUGAGGGCACAGCAUCCUAUAAAACAGCGACAGACAGGAAGGAACACUGGAGGAGCUACACAUUCAGUGUGCACAUGCUGAGGGUGAGGUACUCAAAGGCUACCCAUGUGGAGGUAUCCAGAAUGACCAAAGGUCAGGGUAGGACAGUGAGGAAUUGGACAUCCCAGGGCUGAGCGUGGAGAGAGGUGAGAAGAGGGCAGAUGACAGGAUUUCAGGAGCCACGUGUAAGGGAAGUAGAAAGACAAAUCGAAACAGAAAAUAGAAGAGCAGCCAGAGGAGAAAAUGGAGAGAGUGCAAUGUCAGGAAGGCAGAUGGACAGGAGGGUUUUGAGAAAGAAGAUAUGAUGUUAAGUGGUGCACAAGGAAGGAGGAAGACAAUUAAUUAAGACAAGGCUACUGGGCUUGGCAACUAGGAUGUCGGUGAGUACUUCUGCAGGAACGCUUGCAGUGCAGUGAGGGGUGCUGGGUCAGAUGGUAGCGGAUCAAGGAUAAGCAGUGGUGAGACAGUAAGUGUUGGUCCUCCCUAUUGUGUCUGUUCGUUUGGCUUCCAUGCCACUGUGCUAUCCUGAUGCUACCUUUCUAGCCAGUCCUUCUUGGUGUCUUUGGGUUCCUCUUCCUGUCCUCUUAAGAAGAGUAAUUCCACAAAGUGUAGCCUUGAUUCUUUUCAUUUGUUUAACAAAUAUUUAUUGAGAUCUACUGUGUGCCCGAAUCCACGCCAGACACUAAGGGAGAGUGACGAGCAAGAUGUGCUCAGGAGCCUACAUUCUUGUAGAGACAGACAUACAUACAUUCACUUUAAUUCAACUGCAGUAAGCACUCUGAGGGAAAAGCAAACAGUGCUCUGAGAGCAUCUGUCAAGGGGCCUGGUGUGGCCUCCAGGUGCAGGGGAGGCUUCCCUGAGAAAGUGACCCUGUGGGCUUUCACUUAACACCAAGAAUAGCCUUUCCAAUUCCAGGAUGGCAUGACUUCACAACUUUCAUAAAGUAACAACUUCCCAAAGGUGCUUAGCUCUUUCUAUGAAAUAGAUCCCUGGGCUGAAUCUCUAAGGAAUCUUGCUGUAGGGGUCUUCUCUCCAAUAUUAGAAAAGGAUGUAAAGUAACUAAUAUAGAGUUAAGAGAUUUUUGAAAACUGUCUUUCAUUUUGUUACUAAAGCAGUUCUUAUCAUUGAUCAUGAACAAACAACUGAGGCUGAAUUUAAAGAAUUAGACUUAAAUCAGAGCUCUUCUCUGGGAGUGAACUGCAAGAUGAGAGAGAUAGUAAUUCACUUGAAUGGACGCAAUGAAUCCAAGCUGCAGAAGACCUAAGAGAGGUUCAAUUUCUUUGAAUUCUUAUCUUCAUCUUCCCUUAACUCAUAGAUACAUGUAACCAAAUAUUAGAAACAUGUAAUUGCUGAAAGCUUUUCUGAGGAACAUCUUGAUUUGGCAUAUAUACUUGGCAUAGAGAUUAAUUUUAUCUGUGUUUUAAAGCUGCUUCCUCUGAAAUUAAGCUGAUAUUUUCUCCCUUAAUGUUUUAAUUAAAGAUUGAUUAAAAUUAAGAAGUGUCUCUAUCAAAGAUGCUGACUUGGUAGUUGCCAUUAUAUGGUAACAGAGGAAGAUAACAUGGUCUAUGCUAAAGCUAAUUAGGCCAAGGACCCUCAGAUCAUUAAGUUGAUCUGCUGGGUAACUCUGAGUGACUGAGGAAGUCACUGAGCUGGUAAUGGCUUCUGGUUAAUUCUGGUUAAUGAUUUGAAAAUAAUACUGAUGUGUAGAGCAUAGAAACCAAGGUCAAAAUGGUCUCAGAGAAACCUGCUGGCUGUGGGAUUCUGAAAUGAAUGAAUGAAUUAAUAACCAUGUAUGUGUACGUAUGUGUACAUACAGUGUAUUUAAAGCUGUGUUAAGGAGUCAUGACCUAAGCCUGUUUAUGUAUUGCUGGUCUGGGGCUGGCAAUGAGCUCCACAUUUGUUCCCCAGAGAAACUGCUCAGGAAGGCCUUUUGUCCAUCUACCUGUUUCACUGCUGUCAUCAAACUAGUUUACUUUAUCUUCGUCAUUUCCAUUUUUUCAAGAAGAAAAAGAGCUAAUCUAACUUGCUGCUAGGUCUUCGAUCAAAUCUUCUGGAGAAAGAUCAGCUGUAGGCAAAAGGGGAGUAACUUAUUAAAAACAUUUCAUAAUGUUAUAAUGUGUGUAUUUGGAUAAAGUUUUUAAAAUAAAAGAAUAUUAUCAUUGAGCACUUAAUAUCUGCCUAGUGUUUUCAUCUACAUCACUUCAUUUAAAUCUCAUAAAGGCCCUAAAGGUAGGAUUUACCAUUGCUCACGUUUUACAACAGAAAUAACUAUACAGAGAGGCUAAGUGAUUUCCCCCAAGGUCACUCAGCUAGUAAAUGAUAAAGCCAGAAUUCCAAACUGAGUAUUUUGGACUCAAAUUCAUAUUCAAUUUUCCUCUCUAAGCUGAUAGAAGUAUGAAGACUCUUCUUGCUGUUAUUGUAAAUGACAAUGACUCUAAAGUAAAGGGUAACUACAAGACGGCAUUUCAGAACCUGCUUUCUUCAGGUGCAUCCAAAGUAGCAAAUUUUUAAAUUUUGCUUAUUUAGGCUAAUACUGAAAUGAAAUUAUGUUCCUUUAACAUAUGCUAAGUAGGAGAGAAGGAAGGGAGCCUGGAGGCAAGAUGGAAAGGUGAGGAGUCCAGGCUAGGAUGAGGAUUUCUCAGAACACACAAGGAUUUAGCUCAAGUGUUGCAAAGUAGAUAGCAUUUUGAAUCCACAGCUCACAUGGCUUAUGAGAAAUAAAGAGCAUUCACUCAGUCAGAUAUUCACUAAUGUCCAACUAUGCAUAUACUCAUGCUAACUACUUUGAGGGACACAAAAAUGGAUACAUUAAGAUGAGGGAUGUGACACUGCAUAUAAUCAAUAAAUGCCAAAAUUAGGCAGUAAUGAUAAAGGCUAAAUGAGUUACACAUAUUGAGUGAUUUAAGAGAGCAGGAGAGGUGGUGAGCUGGGCUAGAGCGGAAUCAAGGUUUUGAGGAGAUAUGGGACUUCUGUUAAACCUUCAGGUAUGAGUAGAAAUCAAAUAGGUAAAAUGCUAAGGAGUGUUUGGGGUAAGUGGAUGGAGUGGAUGGUCUACAUAGUAAACAGGACUGGAUAGACAGCGGGGAUCAAAAAUGUAGUUUCUCAACUGACAAAGGAUUAAUUUGCAAAAUAUACAAGCAGCUCAUACAACUCAAUGCCAGAAAAACAACUCAAUCAAAAAGUGUGGAAAAGACUUAAAUAGACAUUUCUCCAAAGAAGACAUACAGAUGGCUAACAAACUCAUGAAAAGAUGCUCAACAUCGCUCAUUAUUAGAGAAAUGCAAAUCAAAACUACAAUGAGUUAUCACCUCACACCAGUCAGAAUGACCAUCAUCAAAAAGCCUACAAACAAUAAAUAUUGGAGAGGGUGUGGAGAAAAGGGAACGCUCUUGCACUGUUGGUGGGAAUGUAAAUUGAUACAGCCACUAUGGAAGAUGGUAUGGAGAUUCCUUUAAAAAGUAGGAAUAAAACCACCAUAUGACCCAGCAAUCCUACUCUGAGGCAUAUACCCUGAGGAAAAGACACAUGUAUCCCAUUGUUCAUUACAGCACUAUUUACAAUAGCUAGAAUAUGGAAGCAACUUAGAUGUCCAAUGAUAGAUGAAUGGAUAAAGAAGUUGUGGUACAUAUACACGAUGGAAUAUUACUCAGCCAUAAAAAGGAGCACAUUUGAGUCAGUUCUAAUGAGGUGGAUGAACCUAUUAUACAGAGUGAAGUGAGUCAGAAAAAGAAAAGAUAAAUAUCAUAUUCUAAUGCAUAUAUAUGGAAUCUAGAAAAAUGGUAAUGAAGAAUUUAUUUACAGGGCAACAGUGCAGAAACAGACAUAGAGAACAGACUUAUGGACAUGGGGAGAGGGUGAGAUGUAUGGAAAGAGUAACAUGGAAACUUAUAUUACCAUUACUGUGUGAAACAGACAGCCAACAGUAACUUGCUGUGUGGCUCAGGAAACUCAAACAGGGGCUCUGUAUCAACCUAGAAGGGUGGGAUGGGGCGGGAGAUGGGAGGGGGGUUCAAAAGGGAAUAUAUGUAUACCUAUGACUGAUUUAUGUGGAGGUUUGACGGAAAACAACAAAAUUCUGUAAAGCAAUUAUCCUUCAAUAAAAAAAUAAAUUAAAAAAAAAAGUAUAAUAUAUAUUAGAAAAAAAAAUAUAGUUGCUAAGACUGGGGAAGGAAAAGAGGGGAGGGAGGCACAGACAGAGACCAGUUCUGAAGAUGCCCCUGUUUAAUCCAUCAGAUCUAGGGGGAGAAUAAACACCCACGGAAAGAAGGGUGAGUACAGACAGAAGCUGAGGGAAGACCACCUUGGAGGCUUCAGUUUUAAAAGGCUACAGCAUGAUUUAUGUCUGUUUUUUCCGUGGGAACCAUGUGCGUACACGCUGGCUGUCCAAUCACGCUAGCUCUCUGCAUUCCUAACAGAGGAUCUUUUGUUCCAAAUAGCAAGGCUCAAAAGGGAUGGAGUCUGAUAAAAAUCACACUGAGGUCAGUACUCCCAGCUGGUGCAGGGCUGAUGCCAUUCCAUAACACACCCUACAGGAAGCAGCUUGAGAUACACAGCUGACUGGCUUCCACAGCAGGAGUCUUGUGGCAGGCAGGGUGGGGUGGGGACUGGCCAAGCAUGGAGGGCAUUCUUUAGCCACUGACUCAAAUGAGUUCCCCAAGAUCCUGACUUGAUCCAACAGAUCUGUUUAAAUCACUCUCAGAACCAACACUUUUUUUUUUUUUUUUUUUUUAACUAAAAGGAAACCCAGGAAGUUUCCCCAGGCAAUGGAACUAUUUCAUCAGUUAACUCUUACUUGUCAUGGAAUCUGAAAAGGGCAAGAUUCCAAAAUCCCCUGUAUUUCGAGAAGUGGGCUGAAUAAUCCUUUGUUGCAAGUGGCUAUUCUGUAUAUUAUAGGAAAUUCAGCGGCACCCACUAAAUGCUGGGAGCAGUCGCCCCAGUUAUGACAGUACAAAAUGUCUCUAGAUGUUGUCAAUGUCCCCUAAGGGCCAAAACUGCCUCCCCUACCCUCACUGGGGGGCCACUGGUCAAGCAUGAGCUUUGGUGCCAAACAUCUUUCCAAUCCCAGCUCUAAUAUUUACUUGCUAUGUGGCUUGAACAAGUUACUUUAACACCUUCAAACUUCAGUUUUCUUAUCUGCAACUGGGAUUUUAAAUGUCUGGUUUAUGGAGGGGGGAGUGGGGAGGAAGUUAGGACUGGAGAUCAUUUAGACUCGGGUCUCUCUUACUUUCUUGCCACUAUGUCCCUACCACUGCAGCUCUUUGCACCUGUUUCUCAUGCUGCACUGCUAACUAGAGACUAUCUGAGAUCCCAGCUCGCAAGAAGGACUGACCCAGAGCAAGUGCUCAGUAAGGAUGGACUGAAAGGAAUACAGAGCCCCUUCCGCCUGACCUCCACGAAGGGAUCCAGGGACCAUCACCUUGCAGCUCUUACUCUUAUCCCUGAUGGCCAAAGUUGUGAAAGGUCCACAUUUCAAAUCACAGGACUGGUGGUAGGAAAACAGCUUAUAAAGGUUCAGGGGAGAAGGGUAUUGUGUUCCUCUUUCACAGACAAUACCAGACACUGGUAUCUGAACAGCACCCCCGUAGCGGCAGUGGCAAAGUAUGA